UAAAAGUGAUCCCAAACCUCGUACGGAGUGCAUUUUGUUCUUAAUUCUAAAUUAUAUGAUAAAGAAACAUUAUUCCUACAUAAAAUUUAACUAGAUUAUAACAAAUAACAAAUUUUUACCUGUUGGUCUAAUGAUAUUCCUAUUCAUUUGUAAGUGAGAAGUUUUAUAUUUGAUUUUUAUCAAAUGCAAGUUUGAACCACAUUAUUGCUAACAUACUGUGAUGCUAAACUUAUCAUCUUCUAUUUAAUGUAGAUAAUAUCGUUUGUUAAAAAAAAAAAAAACAUUCUACCUUGUGAAAAAUUCAAGGGUGUCAAAUAACAAUUAUAGCCCUUGAUUAAUAUCCUGUUUUUCUUUUGUGUCCUAUAAAGUCUAUAAUUCAUUUCUUUUGUUAUUUCAUGUGGAGGUUUUAAAUUGUAUGAUUCCGGUUGGCUGACAUGCCAGACACCGUCCCCAUCCAAAAUAUAUUACCAUAUACUAUAUACUAUGUUGGUUAUAUAAAUAGGUAAAGCAUAUUAAGCGAUAGUUUAAUAUCAGUGCCUCACACGGCAAUUAGGCCUUUUGGUCAGCAGCUACAUAUAUAUGUUUGAGUCAAAUAUAUAGAUUUUGAUGAUGCUUUUUAUUUUUUUUAUUUUUUUUGAACCAUUGAUAUAGCCCAAUCAUACUUUGCAUUUUUAGGGCUCGCUUGAUGUCCAAAAUUAACUCGACUUGCACAAUUAAUUCACUAAAUUCAAUGGAUGUUGAUAGAAAUAUGGAUGUUAACAUACAUAUUUCGUCCAAGAGAAAGUAAAAAAAUGAAGUAUUUAUGAAGAAAACAUGUCUCUCUCAAUCCUAUUAUUUUUGUACGGGUUAAGAGGGAUAGAAUUUCUUCAUGAUUUUUCCAUCUUCGAUCUUUACUUAGACAAAAUAUACAAGUUGAAAUCCAUAUUUUCAUUUUCAUUGAAUUUAGAGCCAAAACAAUCCUAACCAUGAAAUGAGAUCUCAUGAUUUAAGAUAACAGUUAAAUCUUUAUUAUUUUAUAUGUUGAAAAAAACAUAUAUCUAUAUAUCUAUUUUUUAGUAUUUUCUUUGGAAAAGUUUAUUAGAAUGCCAGAAGGAUUAAUAAUAUAUAAAUUUGUGAUUUUAAUAAUACUUAUUUUCCCUAAUUCCUAAAAUACUUAUUUUGACACACCCCGUCCCGAGGGAGGGCAUGCUAGCCGUCACGUGAGAGUGACGUAACCAUUUACACAGUUCGUAAGCUUUAAAGAUAUAAUUACUAAGAUGUAACACCUGAGGGUGAGUCCUACUUUUGUGAAUUCUGUCAGAACACCGUUGGAUUCCUCGUGGCCACCAAAACUCUGCUAUCUUGAACCUGGAGGGGCGCAAAACAAAGUUGAGUGGGUCAGUAAAACAAAGUUUUUCGAAAAUCAUCUCAUUAUCAAAACGCUAACCCCUCACUGUAAAACCCGUAUAUUUUCCCAGAAAUAUGUAAUACGUAUACUUGUCUUAAAACCAUACUCAGAAGUAGUGAUAUGUGAAUUAUAUGUCAUGCCAAUAUAUAUAUAUAUAUAUCUCAUCAAAUCACAUAAGUAACUCAUGCCAAACAAUAUGUCAACCAGAUCCACCUAUAGUGGCCUGUACGGCUGAAUCUAUAGCUCAUAAUCAAUCUCAUCAAUCUUAUCUAACCAGAGUCAUCGCAAGUGACCUGUACGGCACUACACUGCACAUGAGUCAGAACCCCUGAAAAGGUCUAUGCAACUAAAUUGGGUGAAAUAUAGUUAUGCUCACGCUAUCAUCUCCUGAUAGCUAUGCGAUAAAUCGCUAGUCACCUACGAGUCGGAACCACCUCUAAUGGUAUGUACGACAUGCACCUAAAUUGGAUCCAAUUGUGAGCAUAUGGUGCGGGGGUGACUAUAUAUAUACAGGCCUAAAUCAUCUCUACUAAAUCACAAUCACCCUAAUGCAGGUUUAUGAGCUUUCAAUCACAUCAACUCAAAAAUUACAUAAUUUAAUUUAUGAACUUACCUGUGCGUCUGCAGCACCAAUCAUGCAUGUAUGCAAUUACUAAUGCAUAAAUAAUUAGGCAUAUAUUUUGCAUGGCAUUUCAUAUCGCAUUUCACUUAAAUUGAUUUCUUGGGAAAAAUCUCAUUUAUAUAAGUAUACACGGAAAACAAAACUGCCCACUCACCCGGAGUUCGCCCUACAACUCCCUAGCACAACACAUCAAGGCGUCAUGAUGAUCGGCGCCUAGAACAAUAAUCAAAAUCAAACCUCAGAAAUAAUAUCGAUAGAAUAUAUAACUUAUAUAAAACACAUCACUACGUAGUUCAAUCCGGAAGAUCUGCAACUCAUAUUUCAAAUCUAUAACUUCCAGAGAUACACAAUAUAUCUCUAGAACAACAUCCUAAAAUUUCCUUACCAUCCAACGGUCGGAUCUCCGUCAAUUGUCAAAACCAAGUGACGGUUAACAUUCUAUUUUAUGAACUUACAACUCCAAUUCCGGAAGAUCCGUAAUUCGGAUUCCCAAUCCGUAAGUUCCUAUAAUCCUCAAAUAUUACGUAUUACAAUGUAUCAAAGUUUGGUGACGAUCCAACGGUCGGAUCGUCAAUUCACAUUUUUACCUAACCACGAAUAGUAACGAACUUAGGUUCAAUUACUCAAUUUAAGUCAAUCAAUUAUCAAAACUGAACCUAGAACAUUAAACACAUGCUAAGAAUGACA
rnacentral:lncRNA from 1 species